CACCUAAAAGGUAUUAUUAAUUUAUCAGCCCAUUACACUAAAGCUAUAUCCAUUUACAUUUGUCUCUUGAAAUGAGUACAAUCUAAAUCUCUUAACAAGGAUCCAUUGGAGGGCAAGUCUGGUGCCAACAGCUGCAGUAAUUCUAGCUCUAAUAAGUCACAUCAAAGUUGUUGCAGUUAAAAAGCUUGUAGUUGGAUCUCGGGAUGGGGCGAAUGGUCUGCCCUUGCGGGUGUGCAUUGGUCCCCCCGUCCUUUGAGUCGGUGAUGCUACUCUGGUCUUUAUUGGUUGGGGUGUAGAGUCGGCAAUGUUACUUUGAAAAAAUUAGAGUGCUCAAAGUAGGUUUGUGCUUUGAAUACAUUAUCAUGGAAUAACACUAUAGCACUCUAGUCCUGUUGUGUUGGUCUUCAGGAUCAGAGUAAUGGUUAAUAGGGACAAUUAGGGGCAUUCGUACUCCAUUGUUAGAGGUGAAAUUCUUGGAUUUAUGGAAGACAAACUUUGCCAAGGAUGUUUUCAUUAAUCAAGAAUGAAAGUUGGGGGCUCGACAAUGAUCAGAUACUAUCCUAGUCUCAACCAUAAAUGAUGCCAAUUAGGGAUUGGCAGAUGUUAUUUGGAUGACACUGCCAGCACCUCAUGAGAAAUCAAAGUCUUUGGGUUCCAGGGGGAGUAUGGUCACAAGGCUGAAACUUAAAGGAAUUGAUGGAAGGGCACCACCAGGAGUGGAGCCUGCAGCUUAAUAUAACUCAAAUCGGGGAAACUUACCAAGUCUAGACAUAGUAAGGAUUGAUAGAUUGAGAGCUCUUUCUUGAUUCUAUGGGUGGUGGUGCAUGGCUGUUCUUAGUUGGUGAAGUGAUUUGUCUGGUUAAUUCCGUUAAUGAACAAGACCUCAGCCUGCUAGCUAGCUACUUGGAAGUUUCCUCCAAGGCCAACUUCUUAGAGGGACUAUUCACUUCCAGCGGAUGGAAGCUUGAGGCAAUAACAGGUUUGUAAUGCCCUUAAAUGUUUUGGGCCAUACGUGCGCUACACUAAUGAACUCAACGAGUGCAUGUCUGUGUCAAAAGGCUGAGGUAAUUUUUAAAAAUUUCAUUAUGAUGGGGAUAGAUCAUUGCAAUUAUUGAUCUUCAACAAGGAAUUCCUAGUAAACGCAAGUCAUCAGCUCGCAUUGACUACGGCCCUGCCCUUUGUACACACUGCCCAUCGCUCCUACCGAUUGAAUGAUCCAGUGAAGUGUUCGGAUUGCAGCGAUGCUGAUGGUUCGCUGCUGAUGACACAGUAAGUUCAUUAAACCUUAUCAUUUAGAGGAAGGAGAAGUCAUAACAAGGUUUCCAUAGGUGAACCUGUGGAAGGAUCAUUG
rfam:Selaginella moellendorffii unplaced genomic scaffold SELMOscaffold_78, whole genome shotgun sequence.